GAUGAACGCUGGCGGCGUGCUUAACACAUGCAAGUCGAACGGAAAGGCCCAAGCUUGCUUGGGUCCUCGAGUGGCGAACGGGUGAGUAACACGUGGGUGAUCUGCCCUGCACUUCGGGAUAAGCCUGGGAAACUGGGUCUAAUACCGGAUAGGACGAUGGUUUGGAUGCCAUUGUGGAAAGUUUUUUCGGUGUGGGAUGAGCUCGCGGCCUAUCAGCUUGUUGGUGGGGUAAUGGCCUACCAAGGCGUCGACGGGUAGCCGGCCUGAGAGGGUGUACGGCCACAGUGGGACUGAGAUACGGCCCAGACUCCUACGGGAGGCAGCAAUGGGGAAUAUUGCACAAUGGGCGCAAGCCUGAUGCGGCGACGCCGCGUGGGGGAUGACGGCCUUCGGGUUGUAAACUCCUUUCGCUAGGGACGAAGCGUUUUUGUGACGGUACCUGGAGAAGAAGCACCGGCUAACUACGUG
rnacentral:rRNA from 1 species